ACCGGGCCUUCGACUUUGUCGAGAUGAGGUUUUCCUCUCGCUUCCGAGAUGAUUUGUUUGGAUUGUCCUGUGGAUGUAGGAUAGUGCCAAAGACAUGUAGAUAUACAACUUUUAGUUAAAAUGAAGUUAUUGGUAGUACAUUCGUAAGUUCUCCGAGCUCCAUGGUCGCGGGAGGUCGGCUCCUCCGAGCUCCUUAAGAUAAUAAGUUUCGGGCCGAACCACUUCUUUGACCUCAUACGGGCCUUCCCAGUUAGGGGCG
rnacentral:lncRNA from 1 species